rnacentral:rRNA from 1 species
CCAAUAGCGUAUAUUAAAGUUGUUGCAGUUAAAAAGCUCGUAGUUGAAUUUCGGGGUCAGCAAGUUGGUCGUGCCACUGGUAUGCACUGGCUUUACUGAUGCCUCCUCCUUGUAGAACCUUAAUGCCAUUAACUUGGUGUUGUGGGGAAACAGGACUGUUACUUUGAAAAACUUAGUGUGUUUAAAGCAAGCUAACGCUUGAAUACAUUAGCAUGGAAUAAUGAAAUAGGACGAUCGAUCCUAUUUUGUUGGUUUCUAGGAUUGACGUAAUGAUUAAUAGGGAUAGUUGGGGGCAUUAGUAUUCAAUUGUCAGAGGUGAAAUUCUUGGAUUUAUUGAAGACUAACUACUGCGAAAGCAUUUGCCAAGGAUGUUUUCAUUAAUCAAGAACGAAAGUUAGGGGAUCGAAGACGAUCAGAUACCGUCGUAGUCUUAACCAUAAACUAUGCCGACUAGGGAUCGGAUGAUGUUAAUUUUAUAAUGACUCAUUCGGCGCCUUACG